rnacentral:rRNA from 1 species
UACGUAGGGGGCUAGCGUUGUCCGGAAUCAUUGGGCGUAAAGCGCGUGUAGGCGGUCCGGUAAGUCCGCUGUGAAAGUCGGGGGCUCAACCCUCGAAUGCCGGUGGAUACUGUCGGGCUAGAGUGCGGAAGAGGCGAGUGGAAUUCCUGGUGUAGCGGUGAAAUGCGCAGAUAUCAGGAAGAACACCAAUGGCGAAAGCAGCUCUCUGGGACGGUACUGGACGCUGAGACGCGAAAGCGUGGGGAGCGAACAGG